UCGGGCUGUGGCCGACGCUGAGGUCGCUCGGCCUGUGGGGCCGCGAACACGUCAGCGGCGUCAAGCUGCGGGAGUUCCGGCACGCCCUGUGCGAC
rnacentral:tRNA from 1 species